rnacentral:lncRNA from 1 species
CUGGUUCAGUCUGGAAUUGGAAAGGUCACUUAGACAAUUUCCUUAUUACAGUCCUGACACAAAACAGGCAAUGAAUUAUCCUUAGCAUUAUAUUUGGGUCACUUGGCACAUCUGUAAAAUGACAACUUCACUUCAGUGAUUAAAAUGCUGUAGAUCUUGCCAAUAAAUAGAAGCGCCCAUGGAACAAGUGAACAGUCCCGGGUCCUGACAACCAGAGAACAGGCAACUUAUUAUCAAGUGGUAAACAUAGUGACACAGUCAACGGGCAUUUCAAGUUGAUUUUGAAAAUCCAUAAAGGUUCACAAAAAGGAAUGAUUUUGCUCACAGACAAAUUAAGUUAGGUAAUAUAAUUUGACUUGGAGAACAGCUACAUAAUAUAAUGAGAGUGAUAUAAAAAUCUCAGAUAAUCACCAGUUAUAUAAAAAUGCACUUCUUUGAUAGACUGAUCAUUUUGGCCCACCUGGACUGGGAAUUUGUAGCCAUCCUGAGGCAACUUCAUUACUGUGUUCCAACCACAGUGGUAUUCUUUAAGUUUCUCAAAGAAUGACUGUUCUUUCAAUGUCUGCAUGCAGUGAUCUGCCAGGAACAUCUCUUUCCCAUAAUUAUUCUGUCAAAUGAAAUCCCACUCACCUCUCACAUCUCAGUAAAAAUGCCACUUUUCCUUAAAAGGCUCUUCAGGUGACCUCAAAUUGAAUCAGGUCCCCAUAGAUUGGUCUUAAUAGAUUCUUAUAAUUUUCCUUCAUACCUUUCUUAGCUUUAUCUUAAGUUAUACAUCUAAUGAUCCAUUUGUCACAGUCUAGUUUCUGUUCCUCAGGUGAGACAGAAAAUGGCACAAAGUCACCAUGUGUGCUGGUCUCUGCCCUGGUUAUACCAGAUGCCUAAACACAGUGCCUGGCAGGUCAGCAGCUUGGAUAAGUAUGUUGGAUGAACUGUAUAAAUGGAUUCCAGAAUCCAUGACUUUUGUAUAUCUUAAUAUUUUAGUCUCUUUUUUUUUCCAGCUGCAUCUUUUCACAUUGCGCUUCUGUAAACCUCAAGCUAAGCUAUGUGAACUCAGAAGACAUAUAUACCUGUACCAUGAACCAAGCAGAAACUCUUUAGCAGUUGAACUACGGCUUUCUACAAAAUCUUUACUGUUGGAUGCUCCAGAGGGGUUUACCGGAACGAGCACAUUGCCUUUUAGAUGAAGUCAGGAUUAAGGGAUUUUCUUCAGAAGAAAGAUGCUUUGACAUAUUGAAUCAUGUCCUUUUGAAAUGUGCAAUGCCAGGGGCCAAAAGGCAAGGAUGUUGCUUUGGUGAAGCAAUAUCCUCCCUAAGAAAUACCAAUUCUUUGUAUUCAAAAUAAUAAAAUAUUAUGAAGCCUGACC